AAUAAUUAACACCUAUGCCUAUUAAAAAUAUCAUUUAAUAUAUUGCAGAAUGAUAAAGAGAAAUUACUACUAUUUUCCCCUUUUGAAUUAAGAUAUUGCAUAGCAUUACUCUGAGAUUUGCUGUUAUUGCUUUUUAAUAUUUCAAGACAUUUGUUUUGUGAUGUGUAAUCACAUCUCACUGGUUGUUGUUUGGCCAGUCAUUCUUAUUGGUUUUUAAAAAACUAUUUUUAUUAUUUUUUAUUGGUAAUCUUUUCCUCUCUGGGCUGAAUUUUGCAACUUGGCCUGCAGUUUCCACAUAUUCAUGCGAAUAGUAAUCUGUUCCACAAGUAGAAAAGUUUAAAGACAUCUCUUCAUGGAAGUCUUAUAUUGAAAAAGGACCAUUUUUUACUUUUCAGUUUAGCAAGCUUUUUUUUUUCAAGAAGUAAAAAUGUAUAUAUUUCUUUUUGGGUAUUUCUAUGUUCCUUUCAUAAACAGAAUUUCUCAGCAGCAAAGUAUUUGUAAAGAAAAUACACUGUUAAAAAAAAGUGCAAAAAUAUACCACACACAUGCAGAAAAAUUAUAUGAUCACUUACCAAGAUAGCAAAUUAAAUAUGUCACAUCCUCUUAAAUCAAAUUUUCAACAAGUCAUUGAUUAAUUGAUGGCUAGUCUUAACAGUAGCGCUUUCUCUCUUACAGCCUCCUUGCUGAACACUGGGGUAGGGAACAAGCUUUCUCUUGUAGAUUUGUUUCCAGGGGACUUGUUUAUCAGGUCAGAUGGAAGUGGCUUCAGGAUCAAUGCCCCUAAACAAAGGUGGAUUAAAGAAUGCAUUCAAAUGAUGACUAAGAGGACUCUGGUAAAAUAAAAGUCAUAUCUCCAUCAUCUCAAGAGCCACAAAGAAGUCUGUAAGGGGAUCUCAGAUCUGGAACAGAGACUGAAUGCUCAUGUGGAGGCGUAUAAAAUUAUGCCUGGACACUGCAAUUUUGCUUUUCCUAAAAAUAUGAAAUCCAAGUGGAAAGUGAUAUGGAACCAUGAAGUCCUGCCUCAAAGGGAGACCAGUAGUUGAGAUUUCAGAGCUGGCCUCCAGCUGGGACCACUUGAGAUUUACAGCACUGUGACAAACCCUGCACAUAAUGCCUUGAGGACAGGCUGCAGUGACUGAAAUCAGUGGAGCCUUCAGUGAAGCAUCGUGCCUCUGUCAAGUACAUUAAUCUAGCUCAUUUUUAUGACUUCGGGUAACAACCAUCAUAAAUGUCUGAAAAGAGUCUUUAUCAUGCUCAGGGAGUGAAGUAACUAGUUCAUCCAUUUAUCAUACUAGAUGAAGCUCUACAGCUUCCAUUCUUUUGUGCUGGGAAUACAGGGAUUGCAGACACUGACUUGCUGGGAUGUGGAACUGGCACACCUUUAAUCCACCACCGUUUCAUAAUGCUCAUAUGAACUGUUUGAUGGUGAUGGAAUUAAUGGAACCUCUUCUCACCAAUCAAUAUUACCACCCCAGGAUAGUUUCUAAUUUACUGAAGACUGUCUGAUGAUCACAUUAUCUACUAUAUUAAAGAAUCCGUGGCCAUGGCAUGGAAUAGCAACCUUGAAAAUCCUCAAGAACAUAUAACUGGCUUGGCAUCAUACUAAGCAGUUAAGUUGAUAGCAACAUUUUACUGAUUUCAACAGGUCUGAAGGUAAAAGUAUGUGUUGUCCUAAGAAAAAUGUUGUGAUUUGAGUGGUGCCCAAAGUUUUGAGAUCAAGUCUGACCCUUAAUUCAGUGCUUUCCUACCUCCUUCAGUUUAUGGACCUUUAAAUUUUGGCCCAUGGAGAAAUAAAACCUUUUGAAAACUUUGCAUAUACAGUUAAUUACAAAAGAGAUACAUACACUUUAUUAAAAAUGUGCUCUUUAAAAAAAUUGGUUCUGUGGGAAUCUUGGAAAUAGUUCACAGGACAUACAUUGAGAGAUCUGCAAACCAGAAGCUGAUAGUUCAAAGCCAUGGGUUCAAAACAUAAAGAAUGUUGUUCAGUGAGCCAUCACAGAAGGGACAUCAUCUAGUAAUGAGGAAUAAAGAGCAAACAUUUUGUAAUGGUAGCAUCUCAAUAUAUCCUAAUUAACUAUUUUCUUUUAACAUCAUUCUGCAAGGUCAAAUAUUUGCUGCAGAAGAGUUUGCCGUCUCUUGUCUUGGCCCGUGUGCUGCGUGCAGUGAUUGCUUCACAAGGAAAGCUGGCUGCAGGACUCCUGCCUGGCUGGCUUCAUGGUGGCCCAGAUGAAAAGAAGAAAUGAAAAUCUCUUUACACAGAGGUGUGGAAAAAUUGCCUUAUCAUGGUGUUCAUGAAACUAAACACUGGCAUGGGUGUAAGGGGAUCCCUAUUGUGUGCAGCUGCUGCAAGCUGCAGCCCCCCCUUUCAGCCCUGAGUAUCAUUUGCCUUCUCUGCAUUACAUAUUAAGAGGGGACAGAAAUUCAAAGGGGAGAUGAUCACCAGCUCUCAUGGCAGCCCACGUGUACAGAGAUGGCAACCUGGAUACAGAGCAGCAACCUAACCAGCCUCCCCAGCAACAGUUGCUGAAAAGAAAAGAAAGAAAAAGAAAGGAAAAGAAAAGAAAGAAAAAUAAAGGAAAACAAAAGAAAGGAAGAGGAAAGAGCAGAGAACUGAUCUUAUUCAUGAAUGCAAGAGGAGGCAUUCCAAGGAAAUCACAGCAGAGAAGAAACUUUGGUGGUAACAAUGGAUGUCAUGGAUAAAGCACAGUAGCUGGAAAGAAAUUAUCCUGGCUCUAGAAUUGAAUUCUCCUUGGUGCAAAAUAUGCAGAUCUUUGUCAUUGAACUUAAAGUUAAUAUCCUAUCAAAAAUCAGGAUGCAGGCGCUGCUGCAUUCUGGGCUCCCACUGCUUCUGGAGUGGCCUACUUAUUUAAAUGACUGGGCUUUGUGCACACACAAUAAACUGCUUCCUGGGAGUUGAGAGCUUUGUAAAAUUACAUUACAAAAUCAACAAUGACUAUGACAGACAUUGAAUUUCUUGUAUGGUGGAACAAACAGAAUAGCACAAUACUGUCUUUCAGGUGCACACUUCAGAGAGAUUGACUAAGUGGGUGGACAUCUACAUUUAAGUCAAAAGCAGUAAGCCCUGGAAGCAAAUUAAAUCAUAGAAUCACAGAACUUGAGUUGGAAGAAACCCAAAAGGAUUGAGUCCAACUCCUUAUUCCUCACAGGACUACCUAAAACUAAGUCAUAUAGUCAUAUAGGUACGAGUGCAAUCCAGGUGUUCUUGAACUCUGAUAGCUUGGUGCCAGGUCACUGCUUUAGAUCUGGUCUGCCUGCUGUUGUAAUUAAAGUUUAUUGUGUCGAUAACAGUUUAGUCCUAAUACAAAAGAUGUCACUGCAGACAGUAAAUAAAUGAGUGUUUGCACUAGUUCACAUCCAGGCACAAGUGACUCAGGAUGAUUGGUGUGAUGUGGGUCAAGUGCUGCCAUGGAUGGGAAGCCUCAUCACUCUCUUGUCGUAAUACGACACGAAAAGACGACACGCACACUGCUGCUCUCCAGGUGAACAAAAAAGAGGGACUUUUAUUUUCUGACUCCAACAUUUAUAGUUUUCCAAAAGUGACAGUGGAUUGGAGGG